CCUACGGGAGGCUGCAGUGGGGGAUAUUGCACAAUGGGGGGAACCCUGAUGCAGCGACGCCGCGUGGGUGAAGAAGAGCCUCGGCGCGUAAAGCCCUGUCAGCAGGGAAGAAAAGGACGGUACCUGAAGAAGAAGCCACGGCGAACUACGUGCCAGCAGCCGCGGUAAUACGUAGGUGGCAAGCGUUGUCCGGAUUUACUGGGUGUAAAGGGCGUGCAGCCGGGAAGACAAGUCAGAUGUGAAAUCCCGCGGCUCAACCGCGGAACUGCAUUUGAAACUGUUUUUCUUGAGUACCGGAGAGGUCAUCGGACUUCCUUGUGUAGCGGUGACAUGCGUAGAUAUCAGGAAGAACACCAGUGGCGAAGGCGGAUGACUGGACGGCACCUGACGGUGAGGCGCGAAAGCGUGGGGAGCAAACCGGAUUAGCUACCCCAGUAGUC
rnacentral:rRNA from 1 species